rnacentral:rRNA from 1 species
UACGGAGGGUGCGAGCGUUGUCCGGAAUCACUGGGCGUAAAGGGCGCGUAGGCGGCCUGAUAAGUAGGGGGUGAAAUCCUGCGGCUUAACCGCAGGGCUGCCUUCUAAACUGUCAGGCUCGAGCAUAGUAGAGGCAGGUGGAAUUCCCGGUGUAGCGGUGGAAUGCGUAGAGAUCGGGAAGAACAUCAGUGGCGAAGGCGGCCUGCUGGGCUGUUGCUGACGCUGAGGCGCGACAGCGUGGGGAGCAAACGGG